rnacentral:rRNA from 1 species
GAGUUUGAUCAUGGCUCAGAUUGAACGCUGGCGGCAUGCCUAACACAUGCAAGUCGAGCGGAAACGAAGAUAGCUUGCUAUCUAGGCGUCGAGCGGCGGACGGGUGACGUAACGCGUGGGAAUCUACCUGGUAGCUGGAGGGACAACAUUCGGCCAACGGAUGCUAAUACCGCAUACGCCUUCAGCGGGGAAAACAGUGGGAUCUUCGGACCUUGUGCUAUCAGAUGAGCCCGCGUCUGUGAUUAGCUAGUUCGUGGGGUAAUGGCCCACCUAAGGCAACUGAUCCGUAGCUGGUCUGAAAGGAUGAUCAGCCACUAUCAGGGACUGAGACACUCGGCCCGAACUCCUACGGGAGGCAUGCAGUGGGGAAUAUUGGACAAAUGGGAGGCAAACCGUGAAUCCAGCAAUGCCGACGAUGUUGUGAAUGAAGGCCUAUGGGUUGUAAAGCACUUUCAG